GGCAAGCCUUUUGUUCUCUUACCUGGGGUUCUUGGCUUCAUGGAUUCCAAGGAAUGGAACUUUGGGCCAUGCGGUGAGUGUUACAGCUCUAUUAGAAGCCGUGGGUCACAGAAGAGAACCGUGGAACCUAGAGACCAGUGUUCAGCUCGAUUGGGACGAACCUGGGCACUUAGCCGUGCAGAAACAAUGGCGAGCCUUUAGCCGGAUCGGGAGCAGUAAUGGGUGCCUCCAUGGACAGCGGACACCCUGCCGGAUCCAGAGGGGUGGAAGUCAGCGGCGGGUCUGCGAUGUGGGCAAACAACAGUGGUGGACAGAUUGUGGAUUUCUUAUUUCAUGAGCUGGACACAAUUUCUCAUGACAUUAUGCACCUGGCUCCAAUGCUGCUAUUAUUAUAAUGUACUCUUUAUGUAUGAUAUUUUCACAAUUAAACAAAAUCAUUUUUGAUAUUUUUGCUUGUGAUUAAAAU
rnacentral:lncRNA from 1 species